rnacentral:misc_RNA from 1 species
UCUCAUUACAAAUGUAAUCUGAAUGCAGAAUGUGUUACGAUAGGUGGCUUUAAUUCAAUUCUCAAUCAAACAGAGAAACGUGGGGGUAGUCUAAAAUUCAAUUCCAAGAUCCUUCCCUUCCGGAAUUGGAUUGAUAAUCUGGGUUUUGUUGACCUGGGCUUUAGAGGUACCCCCAUGACUUGGAAUAAUAGGAGAAGUGACCGCAACCACAUUAAGGAGAGACUUGAUAGAAGCCUUGCCACGUCACAAUGGCUUACGAAAUGCCCUGCAGCUG